rnacentral:lncRNA from 10 species
CUCCCAAAGUGCUGGGAUUAAAGGAGUGAGCCACUACACUUGGCCUUUUUUUUUUUUCUUUUUUCUUUUGAGACAGUCUGGCUCUGUCACCCAGGCUGGAGUGCAGUGGCAUGAUCUUGGCCCUCUGCAACCUGCGCCUCCUGGGUUCAAGAGAUUCUCGUGCCUCAGCCUCCCAAGUAGCUGGGAUUACAGGUGUAUGCUACCAUACCUGGCUAACUUUUGUAUUUUUAUUAGAGAAGAGGUUUCUAUUCUCUGUAUAUUAUAAAAGAAAUGAAACAUUCCAGUUCUGUUUCUCUAGCUCAUUAUCUCUUCAGUAUGUCCUCUGUGUGAGAUUCUUUUUCCUUAGCUAUAUGGUAAAUCUCUUUGGGCAUCCUCCCUUUAUUAGUAAAGUCAUCUUGUGCAGGACUAAAUCUAGCACUUGUAGAGCUUUUGUUGGUUAAAAUAAUAAACAGCUCGGUUAAUUAAAAAAAAUUAGACAAGUCAACAACUAUAAUAUGGUGAGAUAGGCCGGGCGCGGUGGCUUACGCCUGUAAUCCCAGCACUUUGGGAGGCCGAGGAGGGUGGAUCACGAGGUCAGGAGAUCGAGACCAUCCUGGCUAACAUGGCGAAACCCCAUCUCUACUAAAAAUACAAAAAAAUUAGCCAGGUGUAGUGGCAGGCACCUGUAGUCCCAGCUACUCGGGAGGCUGAGGCAGGAGAAUGGCGUGAACCCGGGAGGCGGAGCUUGCAGUGAACCGAGAUUGCGCCACUGCACUCCAGCCUGGGCAACAGAGCCAGACUCCGUCUGGCAGAAGGGUAAGAAGGACUGGCUCAGCUGCGUGGUGGCAGGGAAGAGGGUUCCUGGGGGGAGGGGGAAAUGAGGCUGGAGAGGUGAGCAGAAUUAUGUCGCUAAAAGCUUUUGGGAGCAAGGCAGAGGCACUGCAGGGUGUGAAGCAGGAGAGUGGCAGAGGUGGCUUUGUCUUUGUGAAGUUGUCUCUGGGUGCUGUGCAGAGAACCCAUGAAUGGGAGGUAGGGGAGGCUGGCAAACCUGCAAGAGGAGAGAGUGGUCCAGACAGCACUGGGCUGACCCCGGAUAGAAGGAUGGUGGCUGAAGGUGGAGACAGUUGAGAAAAGGGGAGAGGUGUUUAUAGGGUAACAUCUACAAGACUAGAGAUGAAUCAGAUGAGAAAGUGUUGGGAGGAAGGAAUCGAGAAUGAUGCCUACAUUUCCGGCUCAGGCAUCCCAAUGGA